UGGGGAAUAUUGGACAAUGGGCGCAAGCCUGAUCCAGCCAUGCCGCGUGAGUGAUGACGGCCUUAGGGUUGUAAAGCUCUUUCGCCCGCGACGAUGAUGACGGUAGCGGGAGAAGAAGCCCCGGCUAACUUCGUGCCAGCAGCCGCGGUAAUACGAAGGGGGCGAGCGUUGUUCGGAUUUACUGGGCGUAAAGGGCGCGUAGGCGGCGGACCGAGUCGAGUGUGAAAGCCCCGGGCUCAACCUGGGAGGUGCACUCGAGACUGGCCCGCUGGAGUUCGGGAGAGGAGCGUGGAAUUCCCAGUGUAGAGGUGAAAUUCGUAGAUAUUGGGAAGAACACCGGUGGCGAAGGCGGCGCUCUGGACCGAGACUGACGCUGAGGCGCGAAAGCGUGGGGAGCAAACAGGAUUAGAUACCCUGGUAGUCCACGCUGUAAACGAUGUGUGCUAGACGUUGGGGAGCGCAGCUCUUCGGUGUCGCAGCAAACGCUUUAAGCACACCGCCUGGGGAGUACGGCCGCAAGGUUA
rnacentral:rRNA from 1 species